AUUGAACGCUGGCGGCAUGCUUUACACAUGCAAGUCGAACGGUAACAGGCCUUCGGGUGCUGACGAGUGGCGAACGGGUGAGUAAUGCAUCGGAACGUACCCAGAGGUGGGGGAUAACGCAGCGAAAGCUGUGCUAAUACCGCAUGUGAUCUGAGGAUGAAAGCGGGGGACAGGGCAGCAAUGUUUGGCCUCGCGCCUUUGGAGCGGCCGAUGUCGGAUUAGCUAGUUGGGGGGGUAAAGGCCUACCAAGGCGACGAUCCGUAGCUGGUCUGAGAGGACGGCCAGCCACACUGGGACUGAGACACGGCCCAGACUCCUACGGGAGGCAGCAGUGGGGAAUUUUGGACAAUGGGCGCAAGCCUGAUCCAGCAAUGCCGCGUGCGGGAAGAAGGCCUUCGGGUUGUAAACCGCUUUUGGCAGGAACGAAACGGUGUCCGCUAAUACCGGGCGCUAAUGACGGUACCUGCAGAAUAAGCACCGGCUAACUACGUG
rnacentral:rRNA from 1 species